CCCAUUUGAUUUUUUUUUCCACACAGUACUUAAAAUAGCAAAUAACAUGGCACAUAUCUAGUCAUCCUGUCUUACAACCCCUGCCUCUCAAGGCUCUCAGCAUCAAAAAGUAAAUGCUGAAAUAUUGGUCUUCAGAUCAUUCCUCAAAGAUCAUAUAGCAUUAGAAGAGUUUUAACUACACAGUCCAUCCAUCUUGCUUCAUUUUAUGAACAACACAUUAUUAAUUUCCUUGGCAUCCAGGGCUAUGAGCAAAGAGAUCCAUCAUUUCCAUUAUUA
rnacentral:misc_RNA from 1 species